AGGUCUCGUGGUGACAGCGGAGGGAUCAUUACCGAGUUUACAACUCCCAAACCCCUGUGAACAUACCACUUGUUGCCUCGGCGGAUCAGCCCGCUCCCGGUAAAACGGGACGGCCCGCCAGAGGACCCCUAAACUCUGUUUCUAUAUGUAACUUCUGAGUAAAACCAUAAAUAAAUCAAAACUUUCAACAACGGAUCUCUUGGUUCUGGCAUCGAUGAAGAACGCAGCAAAAUGCGAUAAGUAAUGUGAAUUGCAGAAUUCAGUGAAUCAUCGAAUCUUUGAACGCACAUUGCGCCCGCCAGUAUUCUGGCGGGCAUGCCUGUUCGAGCGUCAUUUCAACCCUCAAGCACAGCUUGGUGUUGGGACUCGCGUUAAUUCGCGUUCCUCAAAUUGAUUGGCGGUCACGUCGAGCUUCCAUAGCGUAGUAGUAAAACCCUCGUUACUGGUAAUCGUCGCGGCCACGCCGUUAAACCCCAACUUCUGAAUGUUGACCUCGGAUCAGGUAGGAAUACCCGCUGAACUUAAGCAUAUCAAUAAGGCGGAGGAA
rnacentral:rRNA from 1 species